rnacentral:rRNA from 1 species
UGGGAGACUAUGAAGCUGCGACGCUAGUUCUAGUGGAGUCAACCUUGAAAUACCACCCUUGCUAAAUUGAUUUUCUAACCCGUUCCCCUUAUCUGGGAAGGAGACAGUGCGUGGUGGGUAGUUUGACUGGGGCGGUCGCCUCCUAAAGAGUAACGGAGGCGUUCAAAGCUACACUCAAUAUGGUCAGAAACCAUAUGCAGAGCACAAAGGUAAAAGUGUGGUUGACUGCAAGACUUACAAGUCGAGCAGGUGCGAAAGCAGGACUUAGUGAUCCGG